GUAACAUGCUCAAAGAUCUGACA
rnacentral:miRNA from 1 species